CAGUAGCCGCGGUAAUACGUAGGGUGCAAGCGUUAAUCGGGAUUACUGGGCGUAAAGCGUGCGCAGGCGGUUAUAUAAGUCAGAUGUGAAAUCCCCGGGCUCAACCUGGGAACUGCAUUUGAGACUGUAUGGCUAGAGUGUGUCAGAGGGGGGUAGAAUUCCACGUGUAGCAGUGAAAUGCGUAGAUAUGUGGAGGAAUACCGAUGGCGAAGGCAGCCCCCUGGGAUAACACUGACGCUCAUGCACGAAAGCGUGGGGAGCAAACAGGAUUAGAUACCCGGGUAGUCCCUGUCUCUUAUAC
rnacentral:rRNA from 1 species